rnacentral:lncRNA from 1 species
UGAAUUGCGAAGUGAAGGCGUGUAUCUGUCUAGAAAACAAAACCACUGUUCCUCGAUAAGAAUAUUAUUUUCUGAAAAUUAACAUUCCAAAGCAAAAAUACAAGUAUUUAAACAACGCAUAAACCGAUAUAAAUAUAGAUUACAAACUAGUGGCAGUGAACAUAUAUAUUUUCUCAAAUUUUUGCAAUAUACAUACAUACAUACAUAUUUAUAUAUAAGAAGCUCAAUGCGCAAUUCACAGUAACAAAUAAAUCAUCUUAAAAGUUGAAGACGUAGGGCUUACAAUAAGUUGAUUAUAACGCGAUACUCGCUUCUCAGUUCCAUUUAAGCUUAUUCUCGAAUUUUCUCAUAGUUUUCUUGGCAGCCAAACAGACGGUUCGCCGUGGAAGACGAACGGAUAUUCGUCAAGAAACAGAAAAAUUACAGCUCGGAAAGAGUGGAGGAUAUGGAAUAGAGCAGAAGAAGGAGAAUGCAGGCCGAGAAACGCGGUGAUUUGAGGAAAUCGCGAGUCGGUGGAAUCCAUUGGAGAAUCGGACGGAGGGAAGGGGACGAACGGAGGAGGAGGAGAUCUGCUUCGAUGGAGGGGAAGGGGAAGAGCGCGGAUGCCUGACGACUAAGAAGAAGAAGAAGGUGAGAGUCGUGUGAGGAGAGAGUUGGAUGAAAAAUAUCUGAGAGGGAAACGAAUUAAAAAAAGAGAGGGGAAAUGAUGGUGGGGGAGACCCUGAGAGGAAGAGAGUGUUGGUGGGGGCUAUGGAGGUCUAUGAUGCCCCCACUCGAUCUAACACGUAAUGCCCUUUUCUUUUUUAUUUACUUCUUUCAUUUGCUG